ACUUGCUACGUGCGGUAAUAACGUUACAUCCCGCAAGUGCAUUUUGUUCUCCGGUUAGUUAGCAACCGGUUACAUUUCCUACCACAGUCAGCUGUUAAAUGCCCUUUUAAAGACCUCCAGCUUGAUGAUUACGUGCCGGACUGUGAACUCAGAUAACCUGCGGUGAGGAACAGGAGCUCCGGCGUCGGUGCUGUACCAGCCUUCUCCUCCUCUUCCUGCUGCCCACUCGGCCUGCUGUGAACCGACGGAGACCGGCCACAGAGAGCACUGAGAUGGCCUUGGGACUGAUGAUGAAACCACCUUGACUUUAUCAAUUUUCAUCCAUCAGCCGCUCCCCCUCCACCCAGCCUCCCUCCCUGCCUCCCUCCCUGCCUCCCUCCGUGUGAAACCACCACGGUUACCGUACCUUGUAUGAGUCCGUCGCUAGCAUUAUGUUGAAGUCCAUGUCUCUGUGCUCCAUCUUUUCCCCCUUGGUUGUGAGUCAGUCGCAGCUGUCAGUGUGUUGUGUUGCGCGCCGUGCUGCCGGGGACUCCAGCCUGGUGUAGUGUAGCUGUGCAGGGGGGAAGGACGAGCGGAGAGAACCGGGCGGGGGAAGGGGCGGGCGGACUGUCGUCACCAAGGUUCGGGUGUCCCUCGGCUUUCUUCGGCAGUACUCGGCCAACCCGAUUCAACCAAAGAUUAUCUAUACUGAGGAAGAUGAACCACUCAACAACGAAGGCGGGACAUCAUUUCUUCCGGUCCUGAAGAAACUGUACACUUAAAUUAUUAACUCUUAAUUAAAGGCUUGGCUAGUACCUUAUUAAAAAAAGCAAGUAUUUGUAUUUUUUAUUACAAAAGAAUAUCUUUUUUUUGUGAAUUUUCUUAAUCCUUAUGGAGUAUAAUAUUUUAUACUUAAUGAGUUUGUCAAAAUUCUGAGGUUUUCUGUUUAAAUAUUUACUACUAUGUACUUUGUAAAUAAACUAUGUACUUAAAAUAAAGUAAAUACACUGAAUACACCAGA